rnacentral:rRNA from 1 species
AACGAACGCUGGCGGCAUGCCUAACACAUGCAAGUCGAACGAGAUCUUCGGGUCUAGUGGCGCACGGGUGCGUAACGCGUGGGAAUCUGCCCUUUGGUUCGGAAUAACAGUUGGAAACGACUGCUAAUACCGGAUGAUGACGAAAGUCCAAAGAUUUAUCGCCAGAGGAUGAGCCCGCGUAGGAUUAGCUAGUUUGUGUGGUAAAGGCGCACCAAGGCGACGAUCCUUAGCUGGUCUGAGAGGAUGAUCAGCCACACUGGGACUGAGACACGGCCCAGACUCCUACGGGAGGCAGCAGUGGGGAAUAUUGGACAAUGGGCGAAAGCCUGAUCCAGCAAUGCCGCGUGAGUGAUGAAGGCCUUAGGGUUGUAAAGCUCUUUCACCCGGGAUGAUAAUGACAGUACCGGGAGAAUAAGCUCCGGCUAACUCCGUGCCAGCCGCCGCGGUAA